rnacentral:rRNA from 1 species
UGGUAAUUUGACCAUGCAAAGGUAUUGUAAUAAGAUCUUAAUUGGGUGCUAAGAGAAUGAAUGAAUGAUGAAAGUCUUUUUUAUAUAAAAUAUUAGAAUUUCAAUUAAAGAUAAAAAUUUCUUUAUAUUUGAGUGGGACGAAAAGACCCUAGAAUCUUUGAUAUCAUGAUUGAUAUUUUUGUUGGGGCGACAUGGAAAUAUUUAGAAACUUUACAAAUAAUUAUAUUUAAUAAGUAAUAAAUAAGAUACUCUAGGGAUAACAGCGUUAUUAUUUUGCAAAGUUCUUAUUUAUAAAAUAGUUUGCGACCUCGAUGUUGAAUUAAUGGAUCUACGUGGUGUAGAAGCUACGUGUGAGAGAUUGCUCAUCUCUUAAAUCAUUA